AAACGUUCUCUGCCCAUUAUUUUUAUUUUUGAAUUCUAUAUAUAAGUCCAACUCUAUCCUUACACAUUCCAUACAAGAAAAAUCUAAACCCAAAUCCAUACGUUGUCUUCACCAAUUAAAAUGGCCACUGAAAAACUCCCAAAACCAUCCAAGUGGUUCUCUAGCAAGGGCCUUAGCCUCAGCUACCAGCAUCUCCGUUCAAAAUCUAGCUCUUCAAGAAGAUUAGACUAUGUUCCCAGCUCAAGAUUAAGCUCUCCUGAUUCUCCCACCUCACCAAAAAUUGUUAAUAAUAAUGCAAUUUCUAGGCAGGAAGAGCUAAGACAAGUGUUUGGUUAUUUUGAUGGUGAUGGGGAUGGAAAGAUUUCGGCCCUUGAACUUAGGGCAUACUUUGGCUCCAUUGGAGAGUACAUGUCUUAUGAAGAUGCUCAAGGGGUGAUCCAGGAGCUUGACACAGAUGGGGAUAAUUUAUUGGAUUUCCAUGAUUUCUUGAGGCUAAUGAAGAGGGGAGCAGAUCAAGAGGAUCUCAAGAAAGCCUUUGAGAUGUUUGAGUUGGAAAAGGGAGAUGGAUGCAUAACUCCAAGAGGGUUGCAGAGAAUGUUGAGUCGCUUAGGAGAUACGAAAUCUUUGGAUGAGUGUGUGGCUAUGAUUCAGGUUUUUGAUGCUGAUGGUGAUGGUGUGCUUGAUUUUCAAGAGUUUAAUCAAAUGAUGGCUUAAUAAAAGCUGUGCUAUCCACUUUGUGGCUUCUUUAAUUACCUCUAUUGUUCCAUAAUAAAAGAGCUCUCUCUCUACAUGCGAGUACUGUAAGUUUAAUUGUCGUCCAACCAUGUAAAAUCUUGUGUUUUCUUGACUUGAAUCCACUUGCUUUACUCUUUGAUUCAUUUUGUAAAUUGAAUGAGUAGAUAUUAUGCCUGUGGAGUUCAAAGAGCUGCAUAUAUAUCACUGUUAACUAUACAUGCAUGAGUAAAUUCAUCAAUAAAUU
rnacentral:misc_RNA from 1 species